rnacentral:tRNA from 1 species
GCUCGGAUGGCGGAAUUGGUAGACGCACAGGACUUAAAAUCCUGUGAGGGGUAACCCUCGUGCGAGUUCAAGUCUCGCUCCGAGCA